rnacentral:rRNA from 1 species
ACUAAGCGUACACGGUGGAUGCCCUGGCAGUCAGAGGCGAUGAAGGACGUGCUAAUCUGCGAUAAGCGUCGGUGAGGUGAUAUGAACCGUUAUAACCGGCGAUUUCCGAAUGGGGAAACCCAGUGUGUUUCGACACACUAUCAUUAACUGAAUCCAUAGGUUAAUGAGGCGAACCGGGGGAACUGAAACAUCUAAGUACCCCGAGGAAAAGAAAUCAACCGAGAUUCCCCCAGUAGCGGCGAGCGAACGGGGAGGAGCCCAGAGCCUGAAUCAGUGUGUGUGUUAGUGGAAGCGUCUGGAAAGGCGCGCGAUACAGGGUGACAGCCCCGUACACAAAAAUGCACAUGCUGUGAGCUCGAUGAGUAGGGCGGGACACGUGGUAUCCUGUCUGAAUAUGGGGGGACCAUCCUCCAAGGCUAAAUACUCCUGACUGACCGAUAGUGAACCAGUACCGUGAGGGAAAGGCGAAAAGAACCCCGGCGAGGGGAGUGAAAAAGAACCUGAAACCGUGUACGUACAAGCAGUGGGAGCCUCUUAAUGGGGUGACUGCGUACCUUUUGUAUAAUGGGUCAGCGACUUAUAUUCUGUAGCAAGGUUAACCGAAUAGGGGAGCCGAAGGGAAACCGAGUCUUAACUGGGCGUUAAGUUGCAGGGUAUAGACCCGAAACCCGGUGAUCUAGCCAUGGGCAGGUUGAAGGUUGGGUAACACUAACUGGAGGACCGAACCGACUAAUGUUGAAAAAUUAGCGGAUGACUUGUGGCUGGGGGUGAAAGGCCAAUCAAACCGGGAGAUAGCUGGUUCUCCCCGAAAGCUAUUUAGGUAGCGCCUCGUGAAUUCAUCUCCGGGGGUAGAGCACUGUUUCGGCAAGGGGGUCAUCCCGACUUACCAACCCGAUGCAAACUGCGAAUACCGGAGAAUGUUAUCACGGGAGACACACGGCGGGUGCUAACGUCCGUCGUGAAGAGGGAAACAACCCAGACCGCCAGCUAAGGUCCCAAAGUCAUGGUUAAGUGGGAAACGAUGUGGGAAGGCCCAGACAGCCAGGAUGUUGGCUUAGAAGCAGCCAUCAUUUAAAGAAAGCGUAAUAGCUCACUGGUCGAGUCGGCCUGCGCGGAAGAUGUAACGGGGCUAAACCAUGCACCGAAGCUGCGGCAGCGACACUAUGUGUUGUUGGGUAGGGGAGCGUUCUGUAAGCCUGUGAAGGUGGCCUGUGAGGGUUGCUGGAGGUAUCAGAAGUGCGAAUGCUGACAUAAGUAACGAUAAAGCGGGUGAAAAGCCCGCUCGCCGGAAGACCAAGGGUUCCUGUCCAACGUUAAUCGGGGCAGGGUGAGUCGACCCCUAAGGCGAGGCCGAAAGGCGUAGUCGAUGGGAAACAGGUUAAUAUUCCUGUACUUGGUGUUACUGCGAAGGGGGGACGGAGAAGGCUAUGUUGGCCGGGCGACGGUUGUCCCGGUUUAAGCGUGUAGGCUGGUUUUCCAGGCAAAUCCGGAAAACCAAGGCUGAGGCGUGAUGACGAGGCACUACGGUGCUGAAGUGACAAAUGCCCUGCUUCCAGGAAAAGCCUCUAAGCAUCAGGUAACAUCAAAUCGUACCCCAAACCGACACAGGUGGUCAGGUAGAGAAUACCAAGGCGCUUGAGAGAACUCGGGUGAAGGAACUAGGCAAAAUGGUGCCGUAACUUCGGGAGAAGGCACGCUGAUAUGUAGGUGAAGCGACUUGCUCGUGGAGCUGAAAUCAGUCGAAGAUACCAGCUGGCUGCAACUGUUUAUUAAAAACACAGCACUGUGCAAACACGAAAGUGGACGUAUACGGUGUGACGCCUGCCCGGUGCCGGAAGGUUAAUUGAUGGGGUUAGCGGUAACGCGAAGCUCUUGAUCGAAGCCCCGGUAAACGGCGGCCGUAACUAUAACGGUCCUAAGGUAGCGAAAUUCCUUGUCGGGUAAGUUCCGACCUGCACGAAUGGCGUAAUGAUGGCCAGGCUGUCUCCACCCGAGACUCAGUGAAAUUGAACUCGCUGUGAAGAUGCAGUGUACCCGCGGCAAGACGGAAAGACCCCGUGAACCUUUACUAUAGCUUGACACUGAACAUUGAGCCUUGAUGUGUAGGAUAGGUGGGAGGCUUUGAAGUGUGGACGCCAGUCUGCAUGGAGCCGACCUUGAAAUACCACCCUUUAAUGUUUGAUGUUCUAACGUUGGCCCCUAAUCGGGGUUGCGGACAGUGUCUGGUGGGUAGUUUGACUGGGGCGGUCUCCUCCUAAAGAGUAACGGAGGAGCACGAAGGUUGGCUAAUCCUGGUCGGACAUCAGGAGGUUAGUGCAAUGGCAUAAGCCAGCUUGACUGCGAGCGUGACGGCGCGAGCAGGUGCGAAAGCAGGUCAUAGUGAUCCGGUGGUUCUGAAUGGAAGGGCCAUCGCUCAACGGAUAAAAGGUACUCCGGGGAUAACAGGCUGAUACCGCCCAAGAGUUCAUAUCGACGGCGGUGUUUGGCACCUCGAUGUCGGCUCAUCACAUCCUGGGGCUGAAGUAGGUCCCAAGGGUAUGGCUGUUCGCCAUUUAAAGUGGUACGCGAGCUGGGUUUAGAACGUCGUGAGACAGUUCGGUCCCUAUCUGCCGUGGGCGCUGGAGAACUGAGGGGGGCUGCUCCUAGUACGAGAGGACCGGAGUGGACGCAUCACUGGUGUUCGGGUUGUCAUGCCAAUGGCACUGCCCGGUAGCUAAAUGCGGAAGAGAUAAGUGCUGAAAGCAUCUAAGCACGAAACUUGCCCCGAGAUGAGUUCUCCCUGAGACUUAGAGUCUCCUGAAGGAACGUUGAAGACGACGACGUUGAUAGGCCGGGUGUGUAAGCGCAGCGAUGCGUUGAGCUAACCGGUACUAAUGAACCGUGAGGCUUAACC